CCUACGGGAGGCAGCAGUGGGGAAUAUUGCACAAUGGGGGAAACCCUGAUGCAGCGACGCCGCGUGAGUGAAGAAGUAAUUCGUUACGUAAAGCUCUAUCAGCAGGGAAGAAAAUGACGGUACCUGAGUAAGAAGCACCGGCUAACUACGUGCCAGCAGCCGCGGGAAGACGUCGGCGGCAAGCGUUAUCCGGAUUUACGGGGUGUAAAGGGAGCGUAGACGGUGCGCCAAGUCUGGAGUGAAAUGCCGCAGCUUAACUGCGGAACGGCUUUUGAAACUGGCGGACUAGAGUGCGGGAGGGGUAUGCGGAAUUCGUGGUGUAGCGGUGAAAUGCGUAGAUAUUAGGAAGAACACCGAUGGCGAAGGCAGCUUACUGGAUCGAAACUGACGUUGAGGCACGAAAGCGUGGGGAGCGAACAGGAUUAGAUACCCCAGUAGUC
rnacentral:rRNA from 1 species